rnacentral:rRNA from 1 species
UGCAGCCGAGCGGUAUUGUUUCUUCGGAAAUGAGAGAGCGGCGUACGGGUGCGGAACACGUGUGCAACUUACCUUUAUCAGGGGGAUAGCCUUUCGAAAGGAAGAUUAAUACCCCAUAAUAUAUUAGAUGGCAUCAUUUGAUAUUGAAAACUCCGGUGGAUAGAGAUGGGCACGCGCAAGAUUAGAUAGUUGGUGAGGUAACGGCUCACCAAGUCCAUGAUCUUUAGGGGGCCUGAGAGGGUGAUCCCCCACACUGGUACUGAGACACGGACCAGACUCCUACGGGAGGCAGCAGUGAGGAAUAUUGGACAAUGGGUGAGAGCCUGAUCCAGCCAUCCCGCGUGAAGGAUGACGGCCCUAUGGGUUGUAAACUUCUUUUGUAUAGGGAUAAACCUUUCCACGUGUGGAAAGCUGAAGGUACUAUACGAAUAAGCACCGGCUAACUCCGUGCCAGCAGCCGCGGUAAUACGGAGGGUGCAAGCGUUAUCCGGAUUUAUUGGGUUUAAAGGGUCCGUAGGCGGACUCGUAAGUCAGUGGUGAAAUCUCAUAGCUUAACUAUGAAACUGCCAUUGAUACUGCGGGUCUUGAGUAAGGUAGAGGUAGCUGGAAUAAGUAGUGUAGCGGUGAAAUGCAUAGAUAUUACUUAGAACACCAAUUGCGAAGGCAGGUUACCAUGUCUU